rnacentral:rRNA from 1 species
GACGAACCGUCCAAACGUUAUUCGGAAUCACUGGGCUUAAAGGGUGCGUAGGCGGAGAGGCAAGUCAGAGGUGAAAGCCCACGGCUCAACCGUGGAAGUGCCCCUGAAACGGCCUCUCUCGAGGGAGAUAGGGGCGUGCGGAACUCAGAGUGGAGCGGUGAAAUGCGUAGAUAUUCUGAGGAACACCGGUGGCGAAAGUGGCACGCGGGGUCUUUGAUGACUGUGAGGCACGAAAGCUAGGGGAGCAAACAGG